UUCUAAUUUCAUUUUUCUUGUUUUGUAAAAAUUAAUUUCAGUGAGCCUGCGAGUGAAAAUUGCAGCCCUCAGAAACAAGAGAAUGCACAUGGUGGUGUGACCACUGUAAUUGGCUUCCUCAUUGCCAUAUUUGCAAUUGUCAUAGCUACAUUUUCCACAGGGAUUGAUUCACAAUCAUUUCAGUUUCGGAAAGGCGAAGUUCAGUUAGAGGACGAUAUACCAUAUAAAUACGGAUUCUUUCAUGUCGUAUUUUCUUUGGGGGCCAUGUAUUUCGCGAUGCUAUUCAUCAGUUGGAAUUUAGAAAGCUCGACAAGAAAAUGGAGCAUCGACGUUGGCUGGGCUAGUACGUGGGUGAAGAUCGUUAACGAGUGGUUUGCGGCCACCAUAUACUUGUGGAAACUGAUUUCCCCUGUUGUGAGACAGGACAAGAUCAUGAAUCAUGAAGUGUCCAUGGAGGAAGUAAACAAGUCAGAAGCAGCAUGAUUUUGUACAAUGUAAUCUAGUACAUGUUUGGCCAAGUAUUUGAGCUGCUUAUUUACCCUCUUAUUUUGCAGUAAAAAAUAAGCCAAUAAGCAGUGCUUAUAAACUUAGCCAAACAUUCUAUUCUUCUUCUUUUUUCCCCAUUGAUGAUGAUGAGGUGGUCAAGCCUUCAAUUUACAGGCCAAUGUACAAGCCGAAAUAGAUGUGUCCAUUUUGUGAAAAUGCUUAUUUGAAUAACAUUUCUCAUGCAUCAA